UGUUUUAAUUUCACAUUAAUUUCCAUAUUGUAUAAACGACUGGAAAAAACUUGAGCCCCUGCCCCUGUAUAAUCAUGUGCAUGUCUCUGUUCUAGCUCCAAGGUGAAUCUUCACUGCUCAUGUUCUCCUCAGAAGCACUCACCUCACUCCCCUCAGGUUACUGUACACAUGCACCAACUGCCUGCUUCAGGUUUGGAUGGAGCUUCAUGGUUGUCUUCUGGAGAAAUGACCAGUCAAGUUGUGUUUGAAAUUUGAUUUUUUUCAGGGGCAAAAGGAGCCUCUGCAUUCUUGUCAAAUAUGUAAAUAGCAUGUUUUUGCAGGUGCUAAAAACCAGACUCUGAGUGUGUGUGUGUGUGUGCGUGUGUGUGUGUCUGUGUGUGCGUUCAAGUCACAUGACAUAUUUAACCGGAUGUAGCUGCAAGACGGAGCCUCGUUGACUCUCCGUUUCAACUUAUCUCAAAAGUGAGGACCUCAACCUAUAUACCAGUUUUUAAAUUGUGUUGAUAGGCCAAAUAAAACCAGAGUUAUGAUAAAUUAUGUCCGCGAUACUUUUUUUCUGCUUAUUUUGAUCACGUUCGGCGCUCGAUCGCGCUGUAUGAGACAGGAAAACAUAGCAUGCAGACAUUAGCGACAGGUCUUACAGGCGGAAAAGGCUUGCCAAAAGAAAAAAAAAACACACCACAACAUCUCUCCUAUUGGUGGAAAACUUCACCACAACAACCAAUCCAAAAUUAUAUGGUGACUGAUUGACAAGGGGAGGGCGCUUACGUUCUUCCUGCAACAUGAGAAGGGAGGGAGGGACUCUCAGCAGGGAUGCAGUCUGGGACACGUAGUUGCAAACCUAGCGACUUUGUUGUUAGAUUCAAUGACUUUUCAGACCCCCUAACGACUUUUUUUUAGAAAGAAAGGGACUUUUAUCGACUUCUUCUGGAGUUUAGAGACUCUGACAUGAAGCAGGCUUUCCUUACUGAGGAGUUAGCAACGCUGCUAAGGGUGCAGAGCCACACAUGCGCUCCGAGCUCUGCAUGGGAGACUGAAGCUGACAGAGCUGCAGCAGUUAGCAGGUUUCACCCUCAGAGACCACCAGGGGUUCAUGUUGAGGCAUUUUAAUUUUUUUUUUUUUUUUGCCAUAGACACUGUCAGCACAAUCUGCAGUUACACUAACAAAAAUGCUGCAAAAAACAAAGAAUUAUGGAAAAAUUACACAUGGACUGACAUAGAGGAGGAUCUACACAAGUUUUUUACAUCAUGUUUUACAUCAUGCAUCAUUUACAUCAUGUUUUUUUGUAGUGGCAUAAAUAAAAAGUGACAUUUGUGAGACUAUACAGUGUUUUGUAAAUAAUUUUACAAAGAACGCCUGGGCCAUUGCCUGCAUUUUGAUGUAAAUAGAGGUAAAUCACUAUGUUCUUUGUUAAAAAUUUGCAUAUGUUUUGAAGUUUACAAUUUUUAUUUGAAGUUUAAGUUUUAAAAACAGUUCAUCACACAUAUUUGUGGUUUUCACAGUAAAAACAUUACUUUUUUCCACUCGGAUUUUAUGUUUUGUGUGUGAAUUUGGGUCCAAUGUGUAAAUAUAGUAUGUCAAAAUGAUAAAAUAACUGUAAAUUGACACAGGUGAGGUUGUGCUGAAAAAAAUGAUACCAGGCAAGGCAAGGUAAAAAUUUUGUAAGAGGAAAUAUAAAGGUAAAAUCUAAAGUAGUCAAAAACGGCCAAUAGUGACUCACAGACUCCACAGACAAGUCCCUUUGGCGCCACUCAGUGGGCAAAACUACAUUGUCUACUGUAAUGUAUAUUUGGGUCAUCUUUGGCGCCCCCUAAAACGUAAACCGUGGGGUGCAGCGUCAUGAUUUUUACAACUUUGAAUGGCCAUGGAGUGUAGAUUGGCCUGGGCAAAUUUGGUGUCAGUGGGACGAAAGCCUUAGGAGGAGUUAGCGAAAUUCCAAUGUGUGCGAAUCGGCAAAAAAUGCAAAAUAGCCCUUUUACCGUACAUUAUACAGAUACGCGCUCUUUGACUUUUUCGUAGACCUAAUUGAGAUACACAUGAUUGUCAAUUUUUGUGUCAUUUUGCCAAAGCGUACAGGCGUGACAGUCAACAAUGUGUAUUUUCACCUUAGGGGACAAGAAAAAAUGGACUUUUUUCUCCUGCCAUGGGGGGGCGCUCUUUUGGGGAGUAAAAAUUCCUUCACAAAUGUGUUGAUGGCUGGACAUUGCAUCAUCCUAGAAAACUUGGAGGCCAGUGAGGACAAAAAUAAAAAGUUAUAAGACUUUUAAAAAUGUGGAUUUUUGGGUUAUCUUUGGCGCCCCCUAGAACGUAAACCGUGGGGUGCAGCGUCAUGAUUUGAAUAACUUUUAAUGGCCAUGGGGUGUAAUUUGGCCUGAGCAAAUGUGGUGCCGGUGGAACGAAAGCCUUCGGAGGAGUUAGCGAAAUUCCAAUGUGUGCGAAUCGGCAAAAAAUGCCGAAUAACCCUUUAACCGUACAUUAGACAGAUACGCGCGCAUGGACUUUUUUGUAGAUCUUAUUGAGAUACAUGUGUGUGUCAAUUUUUGUGUCAUUUUGACAAAGCGUACAGGCGUGACACUCAACAAUGUGUAUUUUCACCUUAGGGGACAAGAAAAAAAUGGACUUUUUUCUCCUGCCAUGGGGGGGCGCUCUUUUGGGGAGUAAAAAUUCCUUCACAAAUGUGUUGAUGGCUGGACAUUGCAUCAUCCUAGAAAACUUGGAGGCCAGUGAGGGCAAAAAUAAAAAGUUAUAAGACUUUUAAAAAUGUGGAUUUUAGGGUUAUCUUUGGCGCCCCCUAGAACCUAAACCGUGGGGUGCAGCGUCAUGAUUUGAAUAACUUUUAGUGGCCAUGGGGUGUAGAUUGGCCUGAGCAAAUGUGGUGCCGGUGGAACGAAAGCCUUCGGAGGAGUUAGCGAAAUUCCAAUGUGUGCGGAUCGGCAAAAAAUGCGAAAUAACCCUUUAACCGUACAUUUGACAGAUACGCCCGCACUGACUUUUUUGUAGAUCUUAUUGAGAUACAUGUGUGUGUCAAUUUUUGUGUCAUUUUGACAAAGCGUACAGGCGUGACAGUCAAUAGUGUGAAUUUUCACCUUAGGGGGCGCUAUGGAGCCAUUUUGCAUUUUCUUGUUUGGGCGACUUCGGAAUAUCAAAUUUUUCACCAGGCCCGGUCGUCCUGCCAAAUUUCCUGAGUUUUCGCCAGUGGGAAGUGGGCCAUUUUCCAGUUCAAAGGGGAGGAAAAAGAAGAAAGAAAGAAACAAAGAAAAACCCCUACAGGAAUAACAGGGCCUACGCCCGGCUGCUCUGCAGCUGGCUCGGGCCCUAAAGAAAGAAGAAAGAAAAACCUAUACAGGAAUAAUAGGGCUCUACGCCCGGCUGCUCUGCAGCUGGCUCGGGCCCUAACUAGGGCCCCGGUGGGGCACUGUCGGGCCCGAGCCGCGUUGCGCCGCCCCCAGCGCGACCGCCUCCCCCUCCCGAUCGCGUCACACUCAAGGUCCAAAGAUGGUGUGCGCACUUGUCUGUGGUCAUUUCCCAUUAUAAUGAAUGGGAGGCGCAGUUUCUACCAAAACACUCGCUGCAGACAAACUACAUGUCCUAUUUGAAAAAAGUCUGGACCAUGAGUGAGGGCACAAACACAGCUAGGAUAUAUCCAAACGGCAAGUUGCUCCUUGUUACGGUGUUGCCGGGAGAGUGAUGCGAUUGAGCCAUUGAGUGAUGGGCAGGAAAAACUUGACUGUUUCUCCUGCCAUGAGGGUUGGGGGAUGAGGGGGGGGGGGAUGUGGAUUCUUUUAAGAAUGUGGAUAUUUGGGUCAUCUUUGGCGCCCCCUAGAACGUAAACCGUGGGGUGCAGCGUCAUGAUUUUUACAACUUUGAAUGGCCAUGGGGUGUAGAUUGGCCUGAGCAAAUUUGGUGUCAGUGGGACGAAAGCCUUAGGAGGAGUUAGCCACAUUCCAAUGUGUGCGAAUCGGCAAAAAAUGCAAAAUAGCCCUUUAACCGUACAUUUUACAGAUACGCGCGCAUUGACUUUUUCGUAGAUCUUAUUGAGAUACAUGUGAUUGUCAAAUUUUGUGUCAAUAUGACAAAGCGUACAGGUAUGACAGUCAACAAUGUGUUUUUUCACCUUAUGGGACAAGAAAAAAUGGACUUUUUUCUCCUGCCAUGGGGGGGCGCUCUUUUGGGGAGUAAAAAUUCCUUCACAAAUGUGUUGAUGGCUGGACAUUGCAUCAUCCUAGAAAACUUGGAGGCCAGUGAGGACAAAAAUAAAAAGUUAUAAGACUUUUAAAUAUGUGGAUUUUAGGGUUAUCUUUGGCGCCCCCUAGAACCUAAACCGUGGGGUGCAGCGUCAUGAUUUGAAUAACUUUUAAUGGCCAUGGGGUGUAGAUUGGCCUGAGCAAAUGUGGUGCCGGUGGAACGCCAGCCUUAGGAGGAGUUAGCGAAAUUCCAAUGUGUGCGGGUCAGCAAAAAAUGCGCAAUAACCCUUUAACCGUACAUUUGACAGAUACGCCCGCACUGACUUUUUUGUAGAUCUUAUUGAGAUACAUGUGUGUGUCAAUUUUUGUGUCAAUAUGACAAAGCGUAAAGGCGUGACAGUCAAUAGUGUGAAUUUUCACCUUAGGGGGCGCUAUGGAGCCAUUUUGCAUUUUCUUGUUUGGGCGACUUCGGAAUAUCAAAUUUUUCACCAGGCCCGGUCAUCCUGCCAAAUUUCAUGAGUUUUCGCCAGUGGGAAGUGGGCCAUUUUCCAGUUCAAAGGGGAGGAAAAAGAAGAAACUAGGGCCCCGUUGGGGCACUGGCGGGCCCGAGCCGUGUCCCUCCCCCCCCCCCCCAACGUGCUGCCUUCCCGUCCCAUUUGUGUCCUCUGGCCAUCGCCCUCUCUGGUAACGCCCAUCACUGCAAAGACCCUUUUCCUUCAUCAGCGUUUGCUGUUCUUCCUGCCAGUGCGUGUUGCUUUCACUUACACUUGCCACAGCCAGCCUCGUGAGUGCCUAGCCUAUUGGAUAUCACUGUCACCUACACAGGACAGUCAUACUUUGUUUUUUAAUUUCACAUUAAUUUCCAUAUUGUAUAAACGACUGGAAAAAACUUGAGCCCCUGCCCCUGUAUAAUCAUGUGCAUGUCUCUGUUCUAGCUCCAAGGUGAAUCUUCACUGCUCAUGUUCUCCUCAGAAGCAGUCACCUCACUCCCCUCAGGUUACUGUACACAUGCACCAACUGCCUGCUUCAGGUUUGGAUGGAGCUUCAUGGUUGUCUUUUGGAGAAAUGAGCAGUCAAGUUGUGUUUGAAAUUUGAUUUUUUUCAGGGGCAAAAGGAAGCCUCUGCAUUCUUGUCAAAUAUGUAAAUAGCAUGUUUUUGCAGGUGCUAAAAAACAGACUCUGAGUGUGUGUGUGUGUGUGUGUGUGUGUGUGUGUGUGUGUGUGUGUGUGUGUGUGUGUGUGUGUGUGUGUGUGUAUCCUGCAGUACUCUGAGAAGAAUAAUAAGCAUAUUUCUGAGGUGAAUUUUGAAGAUUCAUCUGAGAGUUAGGUUUGAUUCGAUUCGAUUGACGCUCCCCAGCGUUCAAGUCACAUGAUAUAUUUAACCGGAUGUAGCUGCAAGACGGAGCCUCGUUGACUCUCCGUUUCAACUUAUCUCAAAAGUGAGGACCUCAACCUAUAUACCAGUUUUUAAAUUGUGUUGAUAGGCCAAAUAAAACCAGAGUUAUGAUAAAUUAUGUCCGCGAUACUUUUUUUCUGCUUAUUUUGAUCACGUUCGGCGCUCGAUCGCGCUGUAUGAGACAGGAAAACAUAGCAUGCACACAUUAGCGACAGGUCUUACAGGCGGAAAAGGCUUGCCAAAAGAAAAAAAAACACACCACAACAUCUCUCCUAUUGGUGGAAAACUUCACCACAACAACCAAUCCAAAAUUAUAUGGUGACUGAUUGACAAGGGGCGGGCGCUUACGUUCUUCCUGCAACAUGAGAAGGGAGGGAGGGACUCUCAGCAGGGAUGCAGUCUGGGACACGUAGUUGCAAACCUAGCGACUUUGUUGUUAGAUUCAAUGACUUUUCAGACCCCCUAACGACUUUUUUUAGAAAGAAAGGGACUUUUAUCGACUUCUUCUGGAGUUUAGAGACUCUGACAUGAAGCAGGCUUUCCUUACUGAGGAGUUAGCAACGCUGCUAAGGGUGCAGAGCCACACAUGCGCUCCGAGCUCUGCAUGGGAGACUGAAGCUGACAGAGCUGCAGCAGUUAGCAGGUUUCACCCUCAGAGACCACCAGGGGUUCAUGUUGAGGCAUUUUCAGUUUUUGUUUUUUUUGCCAUAGACUGUCAGCACAAUCUGCAGUUACACUAACAAAAAUGCUGCAAAAAACAAAGAAUUAUGGAAAAAUUACACAUGGACUGACAUAGAGGAGGAUCUACACAAGUUUUUUACAUCAUGUUUUACAUCAUGCAUCAUUUACAUCAUGUUUUUUUGUAGUGGCAUAAAUAAAAAGUGACAUUUGUGAGACUAUACAGUGUUUUGUAAAUAAUUUUACAAAGAACGCCUGGGCCAUUGCCUGCAUUUUGAUGUAAAUAGAGGUAAAUUACUAUGUUCUUUGUUAAAAAUUUGCAUAUGUUUUGAAGUUUACAAUUUUUAUUUGAAGUUUAAGUUUUAAAAACAGUUCAUCACACAUAUUUGUGUUUUAAUUUCACAUUAAUUUCCAUAUUGUAUAAAUGACUGGAAAAAACUUGAGCCCCUGCCCCUGUAUAAUCAUGUGCACGUCCCUGUUCUAGCUCCAAGGUGAAUCUUCACUGCUCAUGUUCUCCUCAGAAAUAGUCACCUCACUCCCCUCAGGUUACUGUACACAUGCACCAACUAUCUGCUUCAGGUUUGGAUGGAGCUUCAUGGUUGUCUUUUGGAGAAAUGAACAGUCAAGUUGUGUUUGAAAUCUGAUUUUUUUCAGGGGCAAAAGGAAGCCUCUGCAUUCUUGUCAAAUAUGUAAACAGCAUGUUUUUGCAGGUGCUAAAAAACAGACUCUGAGUGUGUGUGUGUGUGUGUGUGUGUGUGUGUGUGUGUGUGUGUGUGUGUGUGUGUGUGUUAUAUGUGUGUGUAUCCUGCAGUACUCUGUACUCCUGCAGUGGCCAAAAAGACUUUUAAGAAUGUGGAUUUUUGGGUCAUCUUUGGCGCCCCCUAGAACUGCAGUACUCUGUACUCCUGCAGUGGCCAAAAUGACUUUUAAGAAUGUGGAUUUUUGGGUCAUCUUUGGUGCCCCCUAGAACGUAAACCGUGGGGUGCAGCGUCAUGAUUUUUACAACUUUGAAUGGGCAUGGGGUGUAGAUUGCCCUGAGCAAAUUUGGUAUCGGUGGGACGAAAGCCUUAGGAGGAGAUAGCCACAUUCCAAUGUGUGCGAAUCGGCAAAAAAUGCGAAAUAGCCCUUUAACCGUACAUUAUACAGAUACGCGCUUUUUGACUUUUUCGUAGAUCUAAUUGAGAUACACGUGAUUUUCAAUUUUUGUGUCAAUAUGACAAAGCGUUCAGGCAUGACACUCAACAAUGUGUAUUUUCAUGUAAGGGGACAAGAAAAAAUUGACUUUUUUCUCCUGCCAUGGGGGGGCGCUCUUUUGGGGAGUAAAAAUUCCUUCACAAAUGUGUUGAUGGCUGGACAUUGCAUCAUCCUAGAAAACUUGGAGGGCAGUGAGGACAAAAAUAAAAAGUUAAAAGACUUUUAAGAAUGUGGAUUUUGGGUUAUCUUUGGCGCCCCCUAGAACCUAAACCUUGGGGUGCAGCGUCAUGAUUUGUACAACUUUUAAUGGCCAUGGGGGGUAGAUUGGCCUGCGCAAAUGUGGUGCCGGUCGAACGAAAGCCUUCGGAGGAGUUAGCGAAAUUCCAAUGUGUGCAGAUCUGCAAAAAAUGCAAAAUAACCCAUUAACCGUACAUUUGACAGAUACGCCCGCACUGACUUUUUUGUAGAUCUUAUUAAGAUACAUGUGUGUGUCAAUUUUUGUGUCAAUAUGACAAAGCGUACAGCCGUCAUGUGAAUUUUCACCUUAGGGGGCGCUAUGGAGCCAUUUUGCAUUUUAUUGUUCGGGCGACUUUAGAAUAUCGAAUUUUUCACCAGGCCCGGUCGUCCUGCCAAAUUUCCUGAGUUUUCGCCAGUGGGAAGUGGGCCAUUUUCCAGUUUAAAGCGGAGGAAAAAUAAUAACGAAAGAAGGAAACAUGCAGGAACAAGAGGGCUCUCGCAGCUGCUUAGCAGUUACGCUCGGGCCCUAACUAGGGCCCCGUUGGGGCACUGGCGGGCCCGAGCCGUGUCGCACCCCCCCCCCCCCCCCCCAACGCGCUGCCUCCCCGUCCCAUUCGUGUCCUCUGGCCAUCGCCCUCUCUGGUAACGCCCAUCACUGCAAAGACCCUUUUCCUUCAUCGGCGUUUGCUGUUCUUCCUGCCAGUGCGUGUUGCUUUCACUUACACUUGCCACAGCCAGCCUCGUGAGUGCCUAGCCUAUUGGAUAUCACUGUCACCUACACAGGACAGUCAUUACCUUUCUAUUAAUACUUUGUUUUUAAUUUCACAUUAAUUUCCAUAUUGUAUAAACAACUGGAAAAAACUUGAGCCCCUGCCCCUGUAUUAUCAUGUGCACGUCCCUGUUCUAGCUCCAAGGUGAAUCUUCACGGCUCAUGUUCUCCUCAGAAGCAGUCACCUCACUCCCCUCAGGUUACUGUACACAUGCACCAACUGCCUGCUUCAGGUUUGGAUGGAGCUUCAUGGUUGUCUUUUGGAGAAAUGAGCAGUCAAGUUGUGUUUGAAAUUUGAUUUUUUUCAGGGGCAAAAGGAAGCCUCUGCAUUCUUGUCAAAUAUGUAAAUAGCAUGUUUUUGCAGGUGCUAAAAAACAGACUCUGAGUGUGUGUGUGUGUGUGUGUGUGUGUGUGUGUGUGUGUGUGUGUGUGCGUGUGUGUGUGUGUGUCUGUGUGUGUGUGUGUGUGUGUGUAUCCUGCAGUACUCUGAGAAGAAUAAUAAGCAUAUUUCUGAGGUGAAUUUUGAAGAUUCAUCUGAGAGUUAGGUUUGAUUCGAUUCGAUUGACGCUCCCCAGCGUUCAAGUCACAUGACAUAUUUAACCGGAUGUAGCUGCAAUACGGAGCCUCGUUAACUCUCCGUUUCAACUUAUCUCAAAAGUGAGGACCUCAACCUAUAUACCAGUUUUUAAAUUGUGUUGAUAGGCCAAAUAAAACCAGAGUUAUGAUAAAUUAUGUCCGCGAUACUUUUUUUCUGCUUAUUUUGAUCACGUUCGGCGCUCGAUCGCGCUGUAUGAGACAGGAAAACAUAGCAUGCACACAUUAGCGACAGGUCUUACAGGCGGAAAAGGCUUGCCAAAAGAAAAAAAAACACACCACAACAUCUCUCCUAUUGGUGGAAAACUUCACCACAACAACCAAUCCAAAAUUAUAUGGUGACUGAUUGACAUGGGGCGGGCGCUUACGUUCUUCCUGCAACAUGAGAAGGGAGGGAGGGACUCUCAGCAGGGAUGCAGUCUGGGACACGUAGUUGCAAACCUAGCGACUUUGUUGUUAGAUUCAAUUACUUUUCAGACCCCCUAACGACUUUUUUUUUGAAAGAAAGGGACUUUUAUCGACUUCUUCUGGAGUUUAGAGACUCUGACAUGAAGCAGGCUUUCCUUACUGAGGAGUUAGCAACGCUGCUAAGGGUGCAGAGCCACACAUGCGCUCCGAGCUCUGCAUGGGAGACUGAAGCUGACAGAGCUGCAGCAGUUAGCAGGUUUUACCCUCAGAGACCACCAGGGGUUCAUGUUGAGGCAUUUUCAGUUUUUGUUUUUUUUGCCAUAGACUGUCAGCACAAUCUGCAGUUACACUAACAAAAAUGCUGCAAAAAACAAAGAAUUAUGGAAAAAUUACACAUGGACUGACAUAGAGGAGGAUCUACACAAGUUUUUUACAUCAUGUUUUAGAUCAUGCAUCAUUUACAUCAUGUUUUUUUGUAGUGGCAUAAAUAAAAAGUGACAUUUGUGAGACUAUACAGUGUUUUGUAAAUAAUUUUACAAAGAACGCCUGGGCCGUUGCCUGCAUUUUGAUGUAAAUAGAGGUAAAUUACUAUGUUCUUUGUUAAAAAUUUGCAUAUGUUUUGAAGUUUACAAUUUUUAUUUGAAGUUUAAGUUUUAAAAACAGUUCAUCACACAUAUUUGUGGUUUAAUUUCACAUUAAUUUCCAUAUUGUAUAAAUGACUGGAAAAAACUUGAGCCCCUGCCCCUGUAUAAUCAUGUGCACGUCCCUGUUCUAGCUCCAAGGUGAAUCUUCACUGCUCAUGUUCUCCUCAGAAAUAGUCACCUCACUCCCCUCAGGUUACUGUACACAUGCACCAACUAUCUGCUUCAGGUUUGGAUGGAGCUUCCUGGUUGUCUUUUGGAGAAAUUAACAGUCAAGUUGUGUUUGAAAUCUAAUUUUUUUCAGGGGCAAAAGGAAGCCUCUGCAUUCUUGUCAAAUAUGUAAACAGCAUGUUUUUGCAGGUGCUAAAAAACAGACUCUGAGUGUGUGUGUGUGUGUGUGUGUGUGUGUGUGUGUGUGUGUGUGUGUGUGUGUAUGUGUGUGUAUCCUGCAGUACUCUGUACUCCUGCAGUGGCCAAAAAGACUUUUAAGAAUGUGGAUUUUUGGGUCAUCUUUGGCGCCCCCUAGAACUGCAGUACUCUGUACUCCUGCAGUGGCCAAAAUGACUUUUAAGAAUGUGGAUUUUUGGGUCAUCUUUGGCGCCCCCUAGAACGUAAACCGUGGGGUGCAGCGUCAUGAUUUUUACAACUUUGAAUGGGCAUGGGGUGUAGAUUGCCCUGAGCAAAUUUGGUAUCGGUGGGACGAAAGUCUUAGGAGGAGAUAGCCACAUUCCAAUGUGUGCGAAUCGGCAAAAAAUGCGAAAUAGCCCUUUAACCGUACAUUAUACAGAUACGCGCUUUUUGACUUUUUCGUAGAUCUAAUUGAGAUACACAUGAUUGUCAAUUUUUGUGUCAAUAUGACAAAGCGUUCAGGCGUGACACUCAACAAUGUGUAUUUUCAUGUAAGGGGACAAGAAAAAAAGGACUUUUUUCUCCUGCCAUGGGGGGGCGCUCUUUUGGGGAGUAAAAAUUCCUUCACAAAUGUGUUGAUGGCUGGACAUUGCAUCAUCCUAGAAAACUUGGAGGGCAGUGAGGACAAAAAUAAAAAGUUAUAAGACUUUUAAGAAUGUGGAUUUUGGGUUAUCUUUGGCGCCCCCUAGAACGUAAACCGUGGGGUGCAGCGUCAUGAUUUGUACAACUUUUAAUGGCCAUGGGGGGUAGAUUGGCCUGCGCAAAUGUGGUGCCGGUCGAACGAAAGCCUUCGGAGGAGUUAGCGAAAUUCCAAUGUGUGCAGAUCUGCAAAAAAUGCAAAAUAACCCAUUAACCGUACAUUUGACAGAUACGCCCGCACUGACUUUUUUGUAGAUCUUAUUGAGAUACAUGUGUGUGUCAAUUUUUGUGUCAAUAUGACAAAGCGUACAGCCGUCAUGUGAAUUUUCACCUUAGGGGGCGCUAUGGAGCCAUUUUGCAUUUUAUUGUUUGGGCGACUUCAGAAUAUCGAAUUUUUUACCAGGCCCGGUCGUCCUGCCAAAUUUCCUGAGUUUUCGCCAGUGGGAAGUGGGCCAUUUUCCAGUUUAAAGCGGAGGAAAAAUAAUAACGAAAGAAGGAAACAUGCAGGAACAAGAGGGCUCUCGCAGCUGCUUAGCAGCUACGCUCGGGCCCUAACUAGGACCCCGUUGGGGCACUGGCGGGCCCGAGCUGUGUCGCGUCCCACCCCCCAACGCGCUGCCUCCCCAUCCCAUUUGUUUCCUCUGGCCAUCGCCCUCUCUGGUAACGCCCAUCACUGCAAAGACCCUUUUCCUUCAUCAGCGUUUGCUGUUCUUCCUGCCAGUGCGUGUUGCUUUCACUUACACUUGCCACAGCCAGCCUCGUGAGUGCCUAGCCUAUUGGAUAUCACUGUCACCUACACAGGACAGUCAUUACCUUUCUAUUAAUACUUUGUUUUUUAAUUUCACAUUAAUUUCCAUAUUGUAUAAACAACUGGAAAAAACUUGAGCCCCUGCCCCUGUAUAAUCAUGUGCACGUCUCUGUUCUAGCUCUAAGGUGAAUCUUCACUGCUCAUGUUCUCCUCAGAAGCAGUCACCUCACUCCCCUCAGGUUACUGUACACAUACACCAACUGCCUGCUUCAGGUUUGGAUGGAGCUUCAUGGUUGUCUUUUGGAGAAAUGAGCAGUCAAGUUGUGUUUGAAAUUUGAUUUUUUUCAGGGGCAAAAGGAGCCUCUGCAUUCUUGUCAAAUAUGUAAAUAGCAUGUUUUUGCAGGUGCUAAAAACCAGACUCUGAGUGUG